GUGCGCGUGAGCAGGGAGCGUGCGAGCGGGGAGCUGGGCCGUUGGGGAGCGGGGAGCCGGGCCGUUGGGGAGCGGGGAGAGGGGAGCGUGUGAGCGGCAAGCCGGGCCUGCUCCUCAGGGGGCGUGUGAGCCGGAAACGGGGCCCUGUUGGUGGGAAACGCGCGCCAGUGCCCAGGGGCCCUGAGAGCCCGGAGGGCGGGCGGUCACAGUCUGGCCUGAGGGGCGAGCAGCUGGCAGUCGAACCCGGGCCUCCGCGUGGAGCCGGCCAGGCGCCGGCGGUGGGUUUGGCCAGUGCGUGCGGCCCGCUGCCACCGGGCUACUAAUUGUUUUUAAUUUGAAGAUAAUGACAAUAUCCUGAUUUUCCUACCCUACACUUUGGAUUCUGAAGUGACAUUUAUCUAAAAAUUGCUGCAUUAUUCCAGAGUAUCUCUGAGAGCCUUCCACAGAAGUAUGUGGAUCGUUUAUCUGGAGCUGCUGGUCAAAGCGGAAAAAAAGACAUUAAACGGACAAGUAGAAGUAUGGUGUCACUUAGGCCAAAACAAGAGAACUGGAAAGGAGAGAGCAGGGGCCAUGAUGGGGAGAUCAAGGAACCUACAGCCUGCUACAGUGUCCACUGGAAAGUUUCCAACUUCUAAUGCAGUUUCAGUUUGGAGGGAAGUGUCUCCAAAGUGAAGGUAGAGUGAAGGUUUCUGAUAGUGGGAGCAAAGCAAAAGAUCUGUUAUGCAAAAACCACAUGCUGCAGGAUGAUACUGCCAGCCUAAGAAUGGAAAUAGACACAGUUAAAAAUCAGAAUCAGGAAAAGGAGAAGAAAUAUUUUGGUGAUAUUGAAAAUCUUCAAAAGGCAAUGAAAUCGAAAGAGGAAAUAUUAACAGAGACUAUAUUCCAGUAUACUGGUCAGCUUAAUGUCCUGAUAGCUGAGAUACAAUGCUCAAAUCUGAGCUGGAGAACAAUAAACAAAGCAAACAGGCACUGGAAACAGAAGUGGAAUCCUACCGUUCUAGACUGGCUGCUGCCACACACGAUCAUGAUCAAGGUCAGGCAUCACAAAGAGACCUAGAGCUUGCCUUCCAGAAAGCAAAGGACGAGAGGUUAUGCUUGCAGGACCAAAUGAAGUUCGAAGCAACUAAGCUGAGAAGUAACAGUGAGACGGCUUCCCAGCAACUUUCUGAAGUGGAAAGUCAAUUCAAUAAGCCAAAAAUCAAGCUGCAUCAGACGAGAGAUGAUCUCAGAGAAUAGACUUUGAUGUUAGAAUGUGUCCAGAGAGACACAUUACUAGAUAUAAAAGAGAUAAGCCACAAGGGAAUGGCCUCAUUUUUUUUGCUGGGAUAGGAAUCUGUUGGAAAGAUCUGAGGACUGGUCAGAAUAUGUGAAGAUCUCUGAAGUUAAAGCCUCUAAUAAAGAAAGAGGGAAAAUGUUCCACAGGGUGGAAUUUUCCACCACUUGUUGGACAUUCACACCCAUUUCUUUCUGGUUGUGAGGUGGUGAAGCUCUGCAGAUUUAGGAGGGGCAGGGCGUGGACAGCGGGUCUGCAUCUUUUGUCUGAGUAACUUAAUAUCAGGAAGGCCGGAGGGUGGCCCCUUCUGUGUCUGUAACCAGAUUCAGUGAGGAGGGAAAAGAAGGUGAGUUGCUGUGUGUGGUGAUAGUUUUCAAAGUCCAUAUGUUGGCGUUAUCUAUUAUUAACACAACGUCAUAGUAAAGUGAUUUGAUAAACUUAGUGACAGAGAAUCUUAUUAGGCAGUUGUGAGACAACUUUGGCAAGAACUGACUGACACCAUAAAAAAGCAGUCUAUGACGGAGGCUUCACUGGAAGUCAUGGCACGUAACUGUGCCAACUUAGAAGAUGAGGCACAGGAUUUAAAGAGCAAGUUACAUCAACUCCCAAGUCAGUCGCAAGAAGCACAGGAUCAACAUAUAGAGGCCGUGAGAUGUGCUGAAGAAAACACAGGAUCACAUCCAAAAGCUUGAAAUUGAAAAUGCCAAGUUACAAACUACAGUCAAAAAGCAAGUGGGCAAAAUUGAACAACUUCAGAAAAACCUGUUCAGUACAAGAUUGGUGUGUCUGUGUACAGAACAAAAUGUGGGUCGCAGCCUUUGGAGUCCUUUCUGCUGCCUUGGCAGUGGUGAGUGGCUUUGGCCUGAUAUUGUACAUUGGGGUGCCAUUUGUGAUCAUCAUUGCAAAUUCACCAUUUCUUAUUCUAGUGUUGGAGUUGAAGACAUGUUUAUCAUGAUUUCUACCUGGCAGAAGACCAGCCUCAUGGAUAGCAUAAGUGAGCGGAUGUCCGAUGUCUAUUCAAAAGUGGCAGUAUCCAUUACAAUCACCACCAUCACCAAUGUCCUGGCCUUCUAUACAGGAAUUAGGACCUCUUUCAUAAUAAUAAAGAGAACCUGACCUCUUUCAGGUCCGUACAAUACUUUUACAUUUAUAUAGGAACAACCCUGCUCUUUUGUUAUUUUCAUAACAUCAUGUGUUUUGGAGUGUUUAUGGCCAUGGAUGGUAAAAGAGAAGUAGUCUGUCUACGCUGGCUGAAGAAGCAGGAAACUCCUGACCAAAAAUAUUCCUCAUUAAAAAAGUCCUUUUGCCUCCCAGGUAAUUUUCUCCAAGCUGAACAUAAAGCUGAUCUCCAUCCAGUGAAUCUAUUCUUUUUUCAAUUUAUUUUUUAUUGAAGGGUAAUUGCUUUACAUAAUUUUGUUUUCAGUCAAACCUCAACAUGAAUCAGCCAUAGGU